GAUCCUGGCUCAGAGCGAACGUUAGCGGCAGGCUUAACACAUGCAAGUCGAGCGAGAAAGGGGCUUCGGCUCCGAGUAAAGCGGCGGACGGGUGCGUAACACGUGGAUAAUCUGCCUCGUGGCGGGGGACAACAGUCCGAAAGGACUGCUAAUACCGCAUGUCAGGUCGGAAACUCCGGUUUCUGCGAAAAAGAGGGCGUCCGCAAGGAGCUCUCACCACGAGAUGAGUCCGCGUCCCAUCAGCUAGUUGGCGGUGUAAUGGACCACCAAGGCUUAGACGGGUAGCUGGUCUGAGAGGAUGACCAGCCACACUGGGACUGAGACACGGCCCAGACUCCUACGGGAGGCAGCAGUGGGGAAUAUUGGACAAUGGGCGAAAGCCUGAUCCAGCCAUGCCGCGUGAGUGAU
rnacentral:rRNA from 1 species